rnacentral:rRNA from 1 species
AACGAACGCUGGCGGCAUGCCUAACACAUGCAAGUCGAACGAGACCUUCGGGUCUAGGGGCGCACGGGUGCGUAACGCGUGGGAACCUGCCCUUAGGUUCGGAAUAACUCCCCGAAAGGGGUGCUAAUACCGGAUAAUGUCUUCGGACCAAAGAUUUAUCGCCUUUGGAUGGGCCCGCGUUGGAUUAGCUAGUUGGUAGGGUAAAAGCAUACCAAGGCGACGAUCCAUAGCUGGUCUGAGAGGAUGAUCAGCCACACUGGGACUGAGACACGGCCCAGACUCCUACGGGGGGCAGCAGUGGGGAAUAUUGGACAAUGGGCGAAAGCCUGAUCAAGCAAUGCCGCGUGAGUGAUGAAGGCCUUAGGGUUGUAAAGCUCUUUUACCCGGGAUGAUAAUGACAGUACCGGGAGAAUAAGCUCCGGCUAACUCCGUG